rnacentral:rRNA from 1 species
UACGUAGGUGGCAAGCGUUUGUCCGGAUUUAUUGGGUUUAAAGGGUGCGUAGGCGGUCUUAUAAGUCAGUGCUGAAAUAUCCCGGCUCAACCGGGAGGGUGCACUUUAGACUGAUGAGCUUGAGGUCGGUAGAGGGGGGUGGAAUUGCUGGUGUAGCGGUGAAAUGCGUAGAGAUCAGCAGGAACACCCGUGGCGAAGGCGGCCCCCUGGGCCGUACCUGACGCUGAGGCGCGAAGGCUGAGGGGAGCGAACGGGG